rnacentral:lncRNA from 1 species
UUGAACAUAAUAGUGUGUUACAAAACUAGAAUAUUGUUUUACAAUUUGACCAUGAAAAUUAUAAUCUAGUACCAACCCCAAAAUACUAUCAUAGACAACUUGUCCAUAAACUGUUACAAACUAUUACAAAUAUAACAAUGUUAAAGACUAUAUUCAAGCUUAACAUCUUCGUAAAGGUUUCAUUGCACAUGAAAUAUACAUAUCUUAGACCAAGUCUUCAAUUUUCUAAUGAAAUCCACACAUGUUCCAAUCUU